AGCGAGGCUUGCCCGCGAAGGGAUCGCCUCGGUCUUGUUGAUACACCGUGGCGAGCCCUUCGCGGGCAAGCCUCGCU
rnacentral:misc_RNA from 1 species